rnacentral:rRNA from 1 species
GUGUCAGCCGCCGCGGUAAUACGGAGGGGGCUAGCGUUGUUCGGAAUUACUGGGCGUAAAGCGCACGUAGGCGGCUUAUCAAGUCAGGGGUGAAAUCCCGGAGCUUAACUCCGGAACUGCCUUUGAGACUGAUAGGCUUGAGUUCGGGAGAGGUAAGUGGAAUACCUAGUGUAGAGGUGAAAUUCGUAGAUAUUAGGUGGAACACCAGUGGCGAAGGCGACUUACUGGACCGAUACUGACGCUGAGGUGCGAAAGCGUGGGUAGCAAACAGGAUUAGAUACCCUGGUAGUCCACGCUGUAAACGAUGAGUGCUAGAUGUUGGGGGCCUUAGGCUUCCGGUGUCGCAGCUAACGCGUUAAGCACUCCGCCUGGGGAGUACGGCCGCAAGGUUAAAACUCAAAUGAAUUGACGGGG